GAUGAACGCUGGCGGCGUGCCUAAUACAUGCAAGUCGAGCGAACAGAUAAGGAGCUUGCUCCUUUGACGUUAGCGGCGGACGGGUGAGUAACACGUGGAUAACCUACCUAUAAGACUGGGAUAACUUCGGGAAACCGGAGCUAAUACCGGAUAACAUAUUGAACCGCAUGGUUCAAUAGUGAAAGGCGGCUUUGCUGUCACUUAUAGAUGGAUCCGCGCCGUAUUAGCUAGUUGGUAAGGUAACGGCUUACCAAGGCAACGAUACGUAGCCGACCUGAGAGGGUGAUAGGCCACACUGGAACUGAGACACGGUCCAGACUCCUACGGGAGGCAGCAGUAGGGAAUCUUCCGCAAUGGGCGAGAGCCUGACGGAGCAACGCCGCGUGAGUGAUGAAGGUCUUCGGAUCGUAAAAAUCUGUUAUCAGGGAAGAACAAAUGUGUAAGUAACUGUGCACAUCUUGACGGUACCUGAUCAGAAAGCAACGGCUAACUACGUG
rnacentral:rRNA from 1 species